CCCCGCGGAAACUGCGGCUCGGGAGAAUGGUUCCUAGCGGGCUCGCCGCCGACGGCCUCUGGUUCCGCGCGUCCUCCACCGUGCUCUCUGCGGCGGUAGAGGCUUGCGUUUUACACAAAAUAGAAAGACGCAUUCUUUACCCUGCUUUCCAUCGGUCUCCUGUGCAGUCAUUGUAAGAUCUUUGGCAUGAAAGAUGGAGAACUAGAAUAUAUUGAGAGGCUACAAAAGCAAUUGAGGAAGGGGUAAAGGAAUUAAUGUUGGGAGCAAGAAGAGAUGUGGUUCAUCAAAUCUAUUUUCCUUUACCUUUUAAACACAAAAUAAUUUUUCUUAAAAACACGCAUUUCAGUAGCCCUGGGAACUCGCUUUGUAAACCAGGCUGACUUCGAACUCACACAGAUCACCUCUGAGAUCACCUCUGUCUCCCCGGUGCUGGGAUUAAAGACUUGUGCCACCAUCGCCCAGCCAUGACCAAGUUUUGAUUGCCAUGAGGAUGCAGCCUGUGCUUUGGGAGUCACAUACCUGUGAAGAACAAGAAUAUGUGUUCCUCUAACUGGGACUUGAGUCAAUCUCCUGUCUUCACACUCUUUAAGACAGGCGAGGCUUAGUGAAAACACUGGCAACAAUGAGAGCUGUUACUUUUCAGUUUAGGUUUAAAAGAGUUCCGUCUUGUUCUCUGAGCCAUCUGGGGAUAGCUCACAGCACCAUGUGAGCUGCGCUAGGGUGAGGCCUAUGAGGGAAGGAAGUUUCUGGCCAAAAUAGCCAGUGAGACCUUCAGUUUGAUAAACUGUCUAAGAGUGGAAUGGUGUCAUAUGCUAAGUGUACACUUGAUUUUAUAGGAAAUGCCGAAGUCAGGGAUGGUGGUACAUGGCUUACAACCUCAGCACAUAGGAGUCUUAGACAGGAGGACCCAGGCCAGUCUGAACUAACUAGCAUGAUCGUGUCUCAAAAACAAAACAAAAUGAAGAAAUGCCUGGGUAUUUUCCAUAGUGGUGGUUUCAGUCUCACCGACAUCUGAGAGCUACAUCUGCAUCGUGUUCUCACCAGCACUUGCUGUUGUCGGUCUCUCGUCAUUAGUGACAACUCAUUAUAGAUUAAUCUGCACUUUCCUGAUGAUAAUGGUCAACGUGUUUUAACAGUUGCAGGGCCCUGGGUUCAAUCUCCAUCACCAUUGAAAACGAAGACCGAAUAUGAAAUACAUUUUCAGAGAAAGAACCACGAAGUUUACUGCAUGCGCUAGUCGGCUGUCUGUUGCUAUGUUAAAAUUUCUGGCUUAAACAACUUCAGAGAUUUAUUUGGGCUCAGUUCAGAGGUUGUAGUCCACGUCUCUUUUCUCUGUCCUUUUAGACUGAAGGCAGGGCAGAAAUAUGGUGGACACUAUGUGACAGCAAAGUUGUUCACCACAUGGUGGCUGAGCUGCAUACAGUGGAGGGGCAGGGCCCUCUUCCCUUUUCAAGAAUUCCAAUGACCUAACUUCUGCCAGGCCCCACCUCCCUAAAGUUCCUCCCAAGUCCCUGCAGCACUGCUGGCCAAAGGCCAGGCAGCCAAUAUAUGACCCUUUGCGGGGUCUUUAAGAUCCAAACCAUAACAUCACUCCAAAGAUGUUGGUGAAACUUACUAAAGAUAUAAAAGAAAAGGUGAAUCUAAUGAGUAUAGUACAGGAAUCAGGACUGAGCAAAGACAGGGAAAAGAGAUGACUCAAAGUAAUAAGACAUGAGCCAUCUUAAAAUGAUGAGAGUUGGACAUACCAAUUCCAUACAUGAAAUACAUGAAAUAUGAAAAACAAAUCCUGUUUUAAUUUUCUGGCAAAGGAUAUAUAACCAUACACUAACUGGAGGGGAGGCGGUGACAAGCUUUAUUCUCUUAUACAAUGUGACUUUUCCAAUACACAUGCAUUCACAGACCAGAGCACAACAAGCCUUUUGUAUGUGUGACUGGGUGUUUCCGUACUUGUGUGCUCACACAUGCAUGCACACACCAGAGAUCUACUUCACCGGGUAACUUUCUCUAGUACAUUCCACCUUAUCUGAGAUAGACCCGCGUGUGCCAGACUUGCCGAUUGGCAGAGCUGAUGGAUGCUCCCAGUGCUGGGAUUACCAGGCCACCGCCAUGCUGGGGACCCAAACUCAUGCCAUUUAAUAAAAUAUUUACAAAUCAGGCAGAGAAAGAUCUGCCCACAAUGCUAAGCACACUUUGUUUCGACCUGACCCUCAAAGUUAAUUCCUUUAGUUAAGUCUUUCCUGUUCUUACCCUCUACCCAUAACCACUUUCUUCCACAUUCCCCAACCUUGUCCCAGAUCUGCUGUCAACCAAGAUAGCUUUCUCUUCUUCAUGGCCUGAUUUCCUCCCUGGGAAUACAUUGUAUAGGUAAGAUUGUUUAAUCUGUGUCCAUCUGUAGCAUCUUGUGUAGCACACAGCAUACAUCUCUGCUGAGUGAAUGAAUAGCUUUAUGGUUUACAUCUUUUUCAAGUAAUUCACAAUUUAUUUUCAAAUCAUACUGUUGGAAUUCAAAAGGUUCAGAAAUCAAUGUGAUGUUUUCAGAUGUUCCCAUUUUCAAGCAACUCAAAUAAAAAACACAAAACUCACAUUAAGCAAAAUAAAAAUUAUCUUUAACAAUGUCUUAUAUUUGCUUUAGUACACUAUAGGUGCAUACUAGUUAUUUCCAUUUUCCGUUUCCUUCAAUCCAAACACUAUAAAAAUAUUGUUACAUAUUUUUUAAAAAGUCAAACUCUGACAUAUCCCUUCAUCAAUUUUAUGAUGAAAAGAGAGGUAACUAAUUUUGGAACACUGGACAUUAGGCUUGGAAAAAUAGGUUUAGAAUCAAAAGCUGGUGUGCUUGAGUAUAAGAACACAUACUGCACAAGUGAUUUAAAUUCUUUGAAAAACUUCACCAUUCUCUCUCCACACAUCUGGCAGAAGGAUGAGCUGCCAGCUGCCCACAUACACCAGUGGCUGGGUGCUUACAUCUCAGAGAUCAGAGUUCUUGCUGGAUGACCUAGGAGGAAACACUUAGAUAGACAUAAUUAAGAUGAGCCUUACAACUUUUGUCCCUCAAAAGCAAGAUCCUAAUUUUGGUUACUGCUUGGUCCUGGUAUAGGAAAGUAAGAUCUAUUCAUGCAAAAUAGACAAAAUAGCUUUAUAGUUUUCACAGAAAACCUGAACUGCUUGUGCAAUACAGAAUAACUUAGGCUUUCAUCUUACAUUUAUAUAUUUUUUAUUUUAUUUUAAUUUAAUUUUUAUUUUAUUUUAUUUUAUUUUUUAGUUUUUUCGAGACAGGGUUUCUCUGUAGCUUUGGAGCCUGUCCUGGCACUAGCUCUUGUAGACCAGGCUGGUCUCAAACUCACAGAGAUCCGCCUGCCUCUGCCUCCCGAGUGCUGGGAUUAAAGGCGUGCGCCUUUAAUCGUGUGCCACCACUGCCCGGCACAUUUAUAUAUUUUUAAAUAAUUUAUUUCCAAAUCAUAGUUUAAAUUCAAAUAGUUCAAUGCUUUAGGUCCAAGGUGGUCCCAUCAUUGACACAACCAAAACAAGGCAUACAGCUCACAUGUCCAGAUGACCAUUCUUCAGAACUGAAACUCUAUUAGCUACUUGUGACUCAUGUUCCAUCACUGGUCCCUUUAAAAGGAUACUGUAUCAGUAUUCUAGCAUCUAUAUGGUCUUCAGGAGCAAGGCAUGGUGGCACACAUCUUUAGUCCCAGCUCUUCGGAGAAGCAGAGGGAGGCAAACCUCUUUUGAGUUUGAGACCAACCUGGCCUAUUUAGCAAGCCCAAGGACAACCAGGACUACAAAGACACUGUCUCAAAAAAACUGAAAAGGGGGCUGGAGAGAUGGCUCAGUGGUUAAGAGCAUUGCCUGCUCUUCCAAAGGUCCUGAGUUCAAACCCCAGCAACCACAUGGUGGCUCACAACCAUCUGAAAUGAGGACUGGUGCCCUCUUCUGGCCUGCAGGCAUACACACAGACAGAACAUUGUAUACAUAAUAAAUAAAUAAAUAUUAAAAAAAAAACUGAAAAGGGUCUUUAGAAUAUAUAGCACAUUGAUCUAAC